rnacentral:rRNA from 1 species
GACGAACGCUGGCGGCGUGCUUAACACAUGCAAGUCGAACGAUGAAGCCGGAGCUUGCUCUGGUGAAUUAGUGGCGAACGGGUGAGUAACACGUGAGUAACCUGCCCUUGACUCUGGGAUAACUGCGGGAAACUGUAGCUAAUACCGGAUACGACCCUCGGAGGCAUCUCCUGGGGGUGGAAAGAAUUUCGGUCAAGGAUGGACUCGCGGCCUAUCAGCUAGUUGGUGAGGUAAAGGCUCACCAAGGCGACGACGGGUAGCCGGCCUGAGAGGGUGACCGGCCACACUGGGACUGAGACACGGCCCAGACUCCUACGGGAGGCAGCAGUGUGGAAUAUUGCACAAUGGGCGCAAGCCUGAUGCAGCAACGCCGCGUGAGGGGUGACGGCCUUCGGGUUGUAAACCUCUUUUAGCAGGGAAGAAGCGAAAGUGACGGUACCUGCAGAAAAAGCACCGGCUAACUACGUGCCAGCAGCCGCAGUAA